rnacentral:rRNA from 1 species
UACGUAGGGGGCAAGCGUUGUCCGGAAUCAUUGGGCGUAAAGAGCGCGUAGGCGGUCCGGUAAGUCCGCUGUGAAAGUCGGGGGCUCAACCCUCGAAUGCCGGUGGAUACUGUCGGGCUAGAGUCCGGAGGAGGCGAGUGGAAUUCCUGGUGUAGCGGUGAAAUGCGCAGAUAUCAGGAGGAACACCAAUGGCGAAGGCAGCUCGCUGGGACGGUACUGACGCUGAGGCGCGAAAGCGUGGGGAGCAAACAGG